GUGCUUACCUGCAGUCGAACGAUGAAGCCGGAGCUUGCUCCGGUGGAUUAGUGGCGAACGGGUGAGUAACACGUGAGCAAUCUGCCCCGAACUCUGGGAUAAGCGUUGGAAACGACGUCUAAUACCGGAUACGACGCGCGAAGGCAUCUUCUGCGCGUGGAAAGAACUUCGGUUCGGGAUGAGCUCGCGGCCUAUCAGCUAGUUGGUGAGGUAAUGGCUCACCAAGGCGACGACGGGUAGCCGGCCUGAGAGGGUGACCGGCCACACUGGGACUGAGACACGGCCCAGACUCCUACGGGAGGCAGCAGUGGGGAAUAUUGCACAAUGGGCGCAAGCCUGAUGCAGCAACGCCGCGUGAGGGACGACGGCCUUCGGGUUGUAAACCUCUUUUAGUAGGGAAGAAGCGAAAGUGACGGUACCUGCAGAAAAAGCACCGGCUAACUACGUGCCAGCAGCCGCGGUAAUACGUAGGGUGCAAGCGUUGUCCGGAAUUAUUGGGCGUAAAGAGCUCGUAGGCGGUUUGUCGCGUCUGCUGUGAAAACCCGAGGCUCAACCUCGGGCCUGCAGUGGGUACGGGCAAACUAGAGUGCGGUAGGGGAGAUUGGAAUUCCUGGUGUAGCGGUGGAAUGCGCAGAUAUCAGGAGGAACACCGAUGGCGAAGGCAGAUCUCUGGGCCGUAACUGACGCUGAGGAGCGAAAGCAUGGGGAGCGAACAGGAUUAGAUACCCUGGUAGUCCAUGCCGUAAACGUUGGGAACUAGAUGUAGGGACCAUUCCACGGUUUCUGUGUCGCAGCUAACGCAUUAAGUUCCCCGCCUGGGGAGUACGGCCGCAAGGCUAAAACUCAAAGGAAUUGACGGGGGCCCGCACAAGCGGCGGAGCAUGCGGAUUAAUUCGAUGCAACGCGAAGAACCUUACCAAGGCUUGACAUAUACCGGAAAAGUUCAGAAAUGUUCUCCCCGCAAGGUCGGUAUACAGGUGGUGCAUGGUUGUCGUCAGCUCGUGUCGUGAAAUGUUGGGUUAAGUCCCGCAACGAGCGAACCCUCGUUCUAUGUUGCCAGCCCGUCAUGGUGGGAACUCUAAGGAAAUGCCGGG
rnacentral:rRNA from 1 species